ensembl:lncRNA
GGCGAUCAUUGCCUCUGAACUUUGUUCCUGGCUCAGGGCCAUCCUAGGUGGGGUCCUUCCUAGGUGACUCUGGUCUUUUGCUUCUUCAGGUUACCAUCAGCCUGAUACUUGUCAUUGGACUUAAUGCCACCUAGCAAACCAAGAUGAUUUUGACCGGGAAGACUUAAUUGCAUCUCUGAAGACCACUUCCACUCCUACUAAGGUUACUUAAUAAGUGCUGAGUCUCGCACAGAAAUUCAACCUGCAUUCAACCCACCAUAGGGGACGCAAGGAUUUCUCCAUAUAGCUCUGGAUGUCCUGGAACUCACUCUGUAAACUAAGCUGGCCUCAAACUCACAGUGUCUAUGAGUGCUGAGAUUCAAGGCAUGCACCACCACUGCCUGGACCAGGAAGUUUAUAUGUAAACACAAGGGGUAAUGGACCCCUGACCUGCUCAGGGCUUUCAACCCAGUCAAUCCACAGAGGGAUUAACCCCAAAUACCGACUGGAUCUCGGAGGGUUCCAGACCUGCAUGUCCUCAUACUGCACAGACAGACUUUUUCCAAGUCAAGGAACCUGCGAACCAGAUUUUCUUCAGUAGAACGUCUUGCAGCUGGGAGGCAACAAUCGCUCACAAGAGACAAUGUAUCUGUAUUUUAGAGUCUCUGUUGCAAAAGGGUCCAGAAGUUUCCCAUGUUGUUAAGAAGGGGG